CGCAGCUAGCUGCGAUAACUAGUGCGAAUUGCAGACACAUUGAGCACAAAAAUUUCGAACGCAAAUUGCGCCAUCGGGUUUAUUCCCCUUGGCACGUCUGGCUGAGGGUCGGU
rnacentral:rRNA from 1 species